rnacentral:rRNA from 1 species
GACGAACGCUGGCGGCGUGCUUAACACAUGCAAGUCGAACGGAAAGGCCCUGCUUUUGUGGGGUGCUCGAGUGGCGAACGGGUGAGUAACACGUGAGUAACCUGCCCUUGACUUUGGGAUAACUUCAGGAAACUGGGGCUAAUACCGGAUAGGAGCUCCUGCUGCAUGGUGGGGGUUGGAAAGUUUCGGCGGUUGGGGAUGGACUCGCGGCUUAUCAGCUUGUUGGUGGGGUAGUGGCUUACCAAGGCUUUGACGGGUAGCCGGCCUGAGAGGGUGACCGGCCACAUUGGGACUGAGAUACGGCCCAGACUCCUACGGGAGGCAGCAGUGGGGAAUAUUGCACAAUGGGCGGAAGCCUGAUGCAGCAACGCCGCGUGCGGGAUGACGGCCUUCGGGUUGUAAACCGCUUUCGCCUGUGACGAAGCGUGAGUGACGGUAAUGGGUAAAGAAGCACCGGCUAGCUACGUGCCAGCAGCCGCGGUGAUACGUAGGGUGCGAGCGUUGUCCGGAUUUAUUGGGCGUAAAGGGCUCGUAGGUGGUUGAUCGCGUCGGAAGUGUAAUCUUGGGGCUUAACCCUGAGCGUGCUUUCGAUACGGGUUGACUUGAGGAAGGUAGGGGAGAAUGGGAUUCCUGGUGGAGCGGUGGAAUGCGCAGAUAUCAGGAGGAACACCAGUGGCGAAGGCGGUUCUCUGGGCCUUUCCUGACGCUGAGGAGCGAAAGCGUGGGGAGCGAACAGGCUUAGAUACCCUGGUAGUCCACGCUGUAAACGGUGGGUACUAGGUGUGGGGUCCAUUCCACGGGUUCCGUGCCGUAGCUAACGCUUUAAGUACCCCGCCUGGGGAGUACGGCCGCAAGGCUAAAACUCAAAGGAAUUGACGGGGCCCCGCACAAGCGGCGGAGCAUGCGGAUUAAUUCGAUGCAACGCGUAGAACCUUACCUGGGUUUGACAUGGAUCGGGAGUGCUCAGAGAUGGGUGUGCCUCUUUUGGGGUCGGUUCACAGGUGGUGCAUGGCUGUCGUCAGCUCGUGUCGUGAGAUGUUGGGUUAAGUCCCGCAACGAGCGCAACCCUUGUUCACUGUUGCCAGCACGUUAUGGUGGGGACUCAGUGGAGACCGCCGGGGUCAACUCGGAGGAAGGUGGGGAUGACGUCAAGUCAUCAUGCCCCUUAUGUCCAGGGCUUCACGCAUGCUACAAUGGCUGGUACAGAGAGUGGCGAGCCUGUGAGGGUGAGCGAAUCUCGGAAAGCCGGUCUCAGUUCGGAUUGGGGUCUGCAACUCGACCUCAUGAAGUCGGAGUCGCUAGUAAUCGCAGAUCAGCAACGCUGCGGUGAAUACGUUCCCGGG